rnacentral:rRNA from 1 species
UGGGGAAUAUUGGACAAUGGGGGGAACCCUGAUCCAGCCAUGCCGCGUGUGUGAAGAAGGCCUUAUGGUUGUAAAGCACUUUAAGCGAGGAGGAGGGUACUGGUAUUAAUACUACCAGCUACUGGACGUUACUCGCAGAAUAAGCACCGGCUAACUCUGUGCCAGCAGCCGCGGUAAUACAGAGGGUGCGAGCGUUAAUCGGAUUUACUGGGCGUAAAGCGUGCGUAGGCGGCUAAUUGAGUCGGAUGUGAAAUCCCCGAGCUUAACUUGGGAAUUGCAUUCGAUACUGGUUAGCUAGAGUGUGGGAGAGGAUGGUAGAAUUCCAGGUGUAGCGGUGAAAUGCGUAGAGAUCUGGAGGAAUACCGAUGGCGAAGGCAGCCAUCUGGCCUAACACGGACGCUGAGGUACGAAAGCAUGGGGAGCAAACAGG